UGGGGAAUAUUGCGCAAUGGGGGGAACCCUGACGCAGCAACGCCGCGUGGAGGAAGAAGGUCUUCGGAUUGUAAACUCCUGUCUUCUGGGACGAAUAAUGACGGUACCAGAGGAGGAAGCCACGGCUAACUACGUGCCAGCAGCCGCGGUAAUACGUAGGUGGCAAGCGUUGUCCGGAAUUACUGGGCGUAAAGGGCGUGUAGGCGGCCUUUUAAGUCAGAUGUGAAAUCUCAGGGCUUAACCCUGAAACUGCAUUUGAAACUGGAGGGCUUGAGGAUCGGAGAGGGCAGUGGAAUUCCCAGUGUAGCGGUGAAAUGCGUAGAUAUUGGGAGGAACACCAGUGGCGAAGGCGACUGCCUGGACGACACCUGACGCUGAGGCGCGAAAGCUAGGGGAGCAAACAGG
rnacentral:rRNA from 1 species